GCUGUAUGUGUGCGCCUUAUGAUACUAAAUGUGUAGUCCUUUUGCAAUGGAACAAAAUGUAUACAGUGCAAAGUUAGAGAUUGUGCAAUCUUUAUGAUGUACAGGACUGCAGCAUAGCUUUUUGCUUUUUGUUUUUAAGACCUUAAUAGGACCCAGUGUGUCUGUUAGGCAAGCAUUAUACUACCAUACUACUACAUGGCCACAUUAUCACUAUUACAUGGCCACACUAUCACUACUACAUGGCCACACUAUCACUACUACAUGGCCAUCACUAUCACUACUACAUGACCAGUGCUAUCACUACUACAUGGCCAGCGCUAUCUCUACUACAUGGCCAUCACUAUCACUACUACAUGGCCAGCGCUAUCACUACUACAUGGCCACACUAUCACUACUACAUGGCCACACUAUCACUACUACAUGGCCACACUAUCACUAUUACAUGGCCAGUGCUAUCACUACUACAUAGCCAGUGCUAUCACUACUACAUGGCCAUCACUAUCACUACUACAUGGCCAGCGCUAUCACUACUACAUAGCCAGUGCUAUCACUACUACAUGGCCAGCACUAUCACUACUACAUGGCCAGCACUAUCACUACUACAUGGCCAUCGCUAUCACUACUACAUGGCCAGUGCUAUCACU
rnacentral:lncRNA from 1 species